UACAAUGCCGGCAACGGCGAUAAGGGGACCUCGAGUGCCAGGUUACAAAUCUGGCUGUCGUGAUGCCUAAAAAGCAUUGCAUAGCAAGGGCCGGGCAAGACCGGUGCCAGCCGCCGCGGUAACACCGGCGGCUCGAGUGGUAACCGUUAUUAUUGGGUCUAAAGGGUCUGUAGCCGGCCGGAUAAGUCUCUUGAGAAAUCCAGCAGCUCAACUGUUGGGCUUUCAGGAGAUACUGUUCGGCUCGAGGCCGGGAGAGGUGAGAGGUACUUCAGGGGUAGGGGUGAAAUCUUGUAAUCCUUGAAGGACCACCAGUGGCGAAGGCGUCUCACCAGAACGGACCUGACGGCAAGGGACGAAAGCUAGGGGCACGAACCGGAUUAGAUACCCGGGUAGUCCUAGCCGUAAACGAUACUCGCUAGGUGUCGGCCACGGUGCGACCGUUGUCGGUGCCGUAGGGAAGCCGUGAAGCGAGC
rnacentral:rRNA from 1 species